AACGAACGCUGGCGGCAUGCCUAACACAUGCAAGUCGAACGAACCCUUCGGGGUUAGUGGCGCACGGGUGCGUAACGCGUGGGAAUCUGCCCUUUGCUUCGGAAUAACUCAGGGAAACUUGUGCUAAUACCGGAUGAUGUCUUCGGACCAAAGAUUUAUCGGCAAGGGAUGAGCCCGCGUAGGAUUAGGUAGUUGGUGGGGUAAAGGCCUACCAAGCCGACGAUCCUUAGCUGGUCUGAGAGGAUGAUCAGCCACACUGGGACUGAGACACGGCCCAGACUCCUACGGGAGGCAGCAGUGGGGAAUAUUGGACAAUGGGCGCAAGCCUGAUCCAGCCAUGCCGCGUGAGUGAUGAAGGCCCUCGGGUCGUAAAGCUCUUUUACCAGGGAUGAUAAUGACAGUACCUGGAGAAUAAGCUCCGGCUAACUACGUG
rnacentral:rRNA from 1 species